GGAGUACGGUCGCAGAUUAAACUCAAAUGAAUUGGACGGGGCCGACAACGGUGGAGCAUGUGGUUUAAUUCCGACGCAACGCGAAAACCUUACCUGGUCUUGACACCCUGUGAACUUUCUAGAGAUAGGAUCGGUGCCUUCGGGAACACAGUGACAGGUGCUGCAUGGCUGUCGUCAGCUCCGUGUCCGUGAGUAGUUGGGUUAAGUCCCCGUAACGAGCGCAACCCUUGUCCUUAUUUGCCAGCACCGUAAUGGUGGGAACUCUAAGGAGACUGCCGGUGACAAACCGGAGGAAGGUGGGGACGACGUCAAGUCAUCAUGGCCCUUAUGACCAGGGCUACACACGUGCUACAAUGGGGCGUACAGAGGGUUGCUAAGCCGCGAGGUGGAGCCAAUCCCAGAAAACGUUUCGUAGUCCGGAUCGAAGUCUGCAACUCGACUUCGUGAAGUCGGGAAUCGCUAGUAAUCGCGAAUCAGCAUGUCGCGGUGAAUACGUUCCCGGGCCUU
rnacentral:rRNA from 1 species